AGGGUCCAUAACGUCUACGUUGAAGUCGCCGACUAGUAUAAAGGGUUUGUGCUUGUAGGUCUUUUAUAUUGUUCCGUCAAAAUUAUGGUUGAUGUUCGUCUACUGUAAACUUUUUUUAUAUUCACACACACACG
rnacentral:lncRNA from 1 species